rnacentral:rRNA from 1 species
UACAGAGGUCCCGAGCGUUGUUCGGAUUCAUUGGGCGUAAAGGGUGCGUAGGCGGCGGGGCAAGUCUGAUGUGAAAUCCCGGGGCUCAACCCCGGAACUGCAUUGGAUACUGCCUUGCUUGAGUACUAGAGAGGAGACUGGAAUUUACGGUGUAGCAGUGAAAUGCGUAGAGAUCGUAAGGAAGGCCAGUGGCGAAGGCGAGUCUCUGGACAGUUACUGACGCUGAGGCACGAAGGCCAGGGGAGCAAACGGG